UCUGCUUGAAGAUAAAGUGUGUGCGGAUCCGUAAUUUUCUAUAUUCGCUUAUAAGGGACCUUGCCGGGUUCACGGAGACCCAGCACCACUGGAAGCAGAGGAGUGAAUAUACAGGAGUGCGGUGGUGAGAAUUUUCCUAUAGUGAUGUCAUUGGACAGAGUUAAAGUGUACAGCUGCAGCCCAGAUUGGCUCACUCUUGAUCAGACAACUGAGACAAAAUUUCAAAAAUUUUCAAAAAAAUUUCAAAAUGUGGAAGAGAGUUAAGGCUUGUUUCUCUUGCUUUUGCAAGAAACAAACUAAAAAAUCUACGGAUCGUGAUGAAUACAUUGUGAACAUCUUGGAAGGAGGCGAAGACCACUGCAAUAACAUCGAUG